AACACAUGUUUGCAGUAUUUUUUUAUGAUCUUACGCUUAGCUACUUUCAAGUCUGGAUCAAGAUCAUCAAGAGCACCACCAUUCCUCUUCAACAGUCUAACAAAUUUCAUUGCAUGAGUCUGGCAAAAGGAAGUACUAGCAAAAGAUUGUUGGAAUUCACUACAUGUAAUGACCCCAUAUGCACCCCUCUGCUGCCGUAACUUUCCAAAAACUUCUCGAUUGGGUCCUGAUUAAACUUAGUGGCAACAACAUAAGCUACAUCUGGAAUUUUAAGCAAAAACUGCACAACCUCUACAAAGGAGUUAAUACAGAUCUGCAAACCUUCCCAAGUUUGACCACUUAUAAAGUACUGCUUACGCUCAGAU